rnacentral:rRNA from 1 species
GACGAACGCUGGCGGCGUGCUUAACACAUGCAAGUCGAACGAAGAGCGAUGGAAGCUUGCUUCUAUCAAUCUUAGUGGCGAACGGGUGAGUAACGCGUAAUCAACCUGCCCUUCAGAGGGGGACAACAGUUGGAAACGACUGCUAAUACCGCAUACGAUCUAACCUCGGCAUCGAGGAAAGAUGAAAGGUGGCCUCUAUGUAUAAGCUAUCACUGAAGGAGGGGAUUGCGUCUGAUUAGCUAGUUGGAGGGGUAACGGCCCACCAAGGCGAUGAUCAGUAGCCGGUCUGAGAGGAUGAACGGCCACAUUGGGACUGAGACACGGCCCAGACUCCUACGGGAGGCAGCAGUGGGGAAUCUUCCGCAAUGGACGAAAGUCUGACGGAGCAACGCCGCGUGAGUGAUGACGGCCUUCGGGUUGUAAAGCUCUGUUAAUCGGGACGAAAGGCCUUCUUGCGAAUAGUGAGAGGGAUUGACGGUACCGGAAUAGAAAGCCACGGCUAACUACGUG